UCCUACGGGAGGCAGCAGUAGGGAAUCUUCCGCAAUGGACGAAAGUCUGACGGAGCAACGCCGCGUGAGUGAUGAAGGCUUUCGGGUCGUAAAACUCUGUUGUUAGGGAAGAACAAGUGCUAGUUGAAUAAGCUGGCACCUUGACGGUACCUAACCAGAAAGCCACGGCUAACUACGUGCCAGCAGCCGCGGUAAUACGUAGGUGGCAAACGUUAUCCGGAAUUAUUGGGCGUAAAGCGCGCGCAGGUGGUUUCUUAAGUCUGAUGUGAAAGCCCACGGCUCAACCGUGGAGGGUCAUUGGAAACUGGGAGACUUGAGUGCAGAAGAGGAAAGUGGAAUUCCAUGUGUAGCGGUGAAAUGCGUAGAGAUAUGGAGGAACACCAGUGGCGAAGGCGACUUUCUGGUCUGUAACUGACACUGAGGCGCGAAAGCGUGGGGAGCAAACAGGAUUAGAUACCCUGGUAGUCCACGCCGUAAACGAUGAGUGCUAAGUGUUAGAGGGUUUCCGCCCUUUAGUGCUGAAGUUAACGCAUUAAGCACUCCGCCUGGGGAGUACGGCCGCAAGGCUGAAACUCAAAGGAAUUGACGGA
rnacentral:rRNA from 1 species